UACAGAGGGGGCAAGCGUUAUUCGGAAUUAUUGGGCGUAAAGGGCGCGUAGGCGGUCGUGCAAGUGGAAGGUGAAAUCCCUCGGCUCAACCGAGGAACUGCCUUUCAAACUGCAUGACUUGAGUCCGGGAGAGGUGAGUGGAAUUCCCAGUGUAGCGGUGAAAUGCGUAGAUAUUGGGAGGAACACCAGUGGCGAAGGCGGCUCACUGGCCCGGUACUGACGCUGAGGCACGAAAGCGUGGGGAGCAAACAGG
rnacentral:rRNA from 1 species